rnacentral:rRNA from 1 species
GACGAACCGUGCGAACGUUAUUCGGAAUCACUGGGCUUAAAGCGCGUGUAGGCGGGAAGGUACGUCCGUCGCUGAAAUCCCCCGGCUCAACCGGGGAACGGGCGCGGAUACGGCCAUCCUGGAGGGGCGUAGGGGGACCUGGAACUUCCGGUGGAGCGGUGAAAUGCGUUGAGAUCGGAAGGAACACCAGUGGCGAAGGCGGCUACCUGGACCAGCACUGACACUGAGGCACGAAAGCGUGGGGAGCAAACAGG